rfam:Gossypium raimondii chromosome 13, whole genome shotgun sequence.
AAGCUUUUUCAUUUUAUUUUUGAUCAAAGAGUAAUUCUCUAUUGUUAGAUUUAACGAAGAAAAUCGGAACCCAAUACGUUAGGGCUCAAUUUUCUUGAAAAUCCU